GACACGACUCUCGACAAUGGAUAUCUUGGCUCUUGCAUCGAUGAAGAGCGCAGCGAAAUGCGAUACGUGGUGCGAAUUGCAGAAUCCCGUGAACCAUCGAGUCUUUGAACGCAAGUUGCGCCCGAGGCCAUCCGGCCAAGGGCACGUCCGCCUGGGCGUCAAGC
rnacentral:rRNA from 2 species